GUUUAAUUUUUACUCCUGUGUAUUCUGCAAUUGCAAGAGAUUCCAUGAAGAGGUUGCAUCUUACCCUUUCAUGCUGAGCAGUAUAGAGAGAGUUUGAUACAAUGAUUUUCAAGCAUGGAAGACUCCGGAGUGUCAUUUUCUUCAACGAUCCAAAUGGGUGUAGGAGAAUAUACCCUAAAUUUUCAUUACAGGGGCCAGGACCAGUUUCUUACCGUGUGGGUACAAUCAAAACUGUGUAUUCUACACUCUCUAUGUCAUUUCUGAUGGACUCCUAAUAAUGAGUCAUUUGCAGUAGCUGCCUAGGGCACACCUAAUGACUCAGCUCUGGGGAGACUCAGCCUGAAGGGUCAUCUCUGCUAAUGGGUCAUACUGGACUGGCAUAACAUGCAGCUGCAACACCUAGACCAUCGAAGACUCAAAAAAAUAUCCCAUGACUCACAGAGUUAAAUCACCCACUGUGAAACUCCUAGCCUGGCAGAGGUACUGGGCAUUCCCACCUGAACCUGAGCAUAUAUAAUCUUGGGGUUUGGGAUUUCUGGUACCACUUGUUGGAUCCAGAGGAGGACCAGAACUCCAACAAGACUGCCACUGUCACUCUCGACAAGACUGCAAUCAUUAUGUCAACAGAACUGCGACCAUCACCUGGACUAACAGGUUUUCCUUCCUUUUGCUUUGUACCCAAGGGGCCCACGUGAUGCUCAGCACAGGGGCCAAUGA